UACAGAGGUCUCAAGCGUUGUUCGGAUUCAUUGGGCGUAAAGGGUGCGUAGGCGGCGCGGUAAGUCGGGUGUGAAAUCUCGGGGCUUAACUCCGAAACUGCAUUCGAUACUGCCGUGCUUGAGGACUGGAGAGGAGACUGGAAUUUACGGUGUAGCGGUGAAAUGCGUAGAUAUCGUAAGGAAGACCAGUGGUGAAGGCGGGUCUCUGGACAGUUCCUGACGCUGAGGCACGAAGGUCAGGGGAGCAAACGGG
rnacentral:rRNA from 1 species